rnacentral:rRNA from 1 species
GACGAACGCUGGCGGCGUGCUUAACACAUGCAAGUCGAACGGUAAGGCCCUUCGGGGUACACGAGUGGCGAACGGGUGAGUAACACGUGGGUGAUCUGCCCUGCACUUCGGGAUAAGCCUGGGAAACUGGGUCUAAUACCGGAUAGGACCCUGGGAUGCAUGUCCUGGGGUGGAAAGCUUUUGCGGUGUGGGAUGGGCCCGCGGCCUAUCAGCUUGUUGGUGGGGUGAUGGCCUACCAAGGCGCCGACGGGUAGCCGGCCUGGGAGGGUGACCGGCGACACUGGGCAUGAGAUACGGCCCAGCCUCCUACGGGAGGCAGCAGUGGGGAAUAUUGCACAAUGGGCGCAAGCCUGAUGCAGCGACGCCGCGUGAGGGAUGACGGCCUUCGGGUUGUAAACCUCUUUCAGCACCGACGAAGCGCAAGUGACGGUAGGUGCAGAAGAAGGACCGGCCAACUACGUGCCAGCCGCCGCCGUAA